rnacentral:rRNA from 1 species
GAUGAACGCUGGCGGCGUGCCUAAUACAUGCAAGUCGAGCGAACAGACGAGGAGCUUGCUCCUCUGACGUUAGCGGCGGACGGGUGAGUAACACGUGGAUAACCUACCUAUAAGACUGGGAUAACUUCGGGAAACCGGAGCUAAUACCGGAUAAUAUAUUGAACCGCAUGGUUCAAUAGUGAAAGACGGUUUUGCUGUCACUUAUAGAUGGAUCCGCGCCGCAUUAGCUAGUUGGUAAGGUAACGGCUUACCAAGGCAACGAUGCGUAGCCGACCUGAGAGGGUGAUCGGUCACACUGGAACUGAGACACGGUCCAGACUCCUACGGGAGGCAGCAGUAGGGAAUCUUCCGCAAUGGGCGAAAGCCUGACGGAGCAACGCCGCGUGAGUGAUGAAGGUCUUCGGAUCGUAAAACUCUGUUAUUAGGGAAGAACAAAUGUGUAAGUAACUAUGCACGUCUUGACGGUACCUAAUCAGAAAGCUACGGCUAACUACGUG